rnacentral:rRNA from 1 species
AUUGAACGCUGGCGGCAGGCCUAACACAUGCAAGUCGAACGAGUGGCGGACGGGUGAGUAAUGUCUGGGAAACUGCCUGAUGGAGGGGGCUAACUACUGGAAACGGUAGCUAAUACCGCAUACCAUCGGAUGUGCCCAGCUGGGAUUAGCUUGUUGGUGGGGUAACGGCUCACCAAGGCGACGAUCCCUAGCUGGUCUGAGAGGAUGACCAGCCACACUGGAACUGAGACACGGUCCAGACUCCUACGGGAGGCAGCAGUGGGGAAUAUUGCACAAUGGGCGCAAGCCUGAUGCAGCCAUGCCGCGUGUAUGAAGAAGGUUUUCGGGUUGUAAAGGACUUUUAGCGGGGAGGCGUUACCCGAAGAAGAAGUAACGGCUAACUCCGUGCCAGCAGCCGCGGUAAUAC